rnacentral:rRNA from 1 species
GAUGAACGCUGGCGGCGUGCCUAAUACAUGCAAGUCGAGCGAACAGACGAGGAGCUUGCUCCUUUGACGUUAGCGGCGGACGGGUGAGUAACACGUAGGUAACCUACCUAUAAGACUGGGAUAACUUCGGGAAACCGGAGCUAAUACCGGCUAAUAUUUCGAACCGCAUGGUUCGAUAGUGAAAGAUGGCUUUGCUAUCACUUAUAGAUGGACCUGCGCCGUAUUAGCUAGUUGGUAAGGUAACGGCUUACCAAGGCAACGAUACGUAGCCGACCUGAGAGGGUGAUCGGCCACACUGGAACUGAGACACGGUCCAGACUCCUACGGGAGGCAGCAGUAGGGAACCUUCCGCAAUGGGCGAAAGCCUGACGGAGCAACGCCGCGUGAGUGAUGAAGGUCUUCGGAUCGUAAAACUCUGUUAUUAGGGAAGAACAAACGUGUAAGUAACUGUGCACGUCUUGACGGUACCUAAUCAGAAAGCCACGGCUAACUACGUG